CCUACGGGUGGCAGCAGUGGGGAAUAUUGCACAAUGGGGGAAACCCUGAUGCAGCGACGCCGCGUGAGUGAAGAAGUAUUUCGGUAUGUAAAGCUCUAUCAGCAGGGAAGAAAAUGACGGUACCUGACUAAGAAGCCCCGGCUAACUACGUGCCAGCAGCCGCGGUCAUACGUAGGGGGCAAGCGUUAUCCGGAUUUACUGGGUGGAAAGGGAGCGUGAGCUGUGAGGUAAGUCAGCGGUGAAAUGCCCCCGUUCAACGGGGUGAAGUGCCAUUGAUACUGGCUUGCUGGAAUGCGGAUGACGUGGGAGGAAUGUGAGGUGUAGCGGUGAAAUGCAUAGAUAUCACAAAGAACACCGAUUGCGAAGGCAUCUCACGAAUCCGCGAUUGACGCUGAGGCACGAAAGCGUGGGUAUCAAACAGGAUUAGAUACCCUUGUAGUC
rnacentral:rRNA from 1 species